GGGGAUGAAGGGAUUUGAUAGCAAAAGGUUUUGAGGGAUAGCAGGCUGGGGGAAGCAGGCAAUCCUCCAUAAUAAAAACCUGCACUUUUAAAAUGCCAACCAAAAUCAACCUGCUUACGCUUUAGCGUAAGCCAUCUGGUAAGAUAACCUUGCCUAGCAGGUCUUACCAGGUGUGAUUUUUGCUAGGCAGUUUCUGGGGAUUUGGUGCUUUGACCCAGAAACUUAAGUUUUUAAAGCACCCCAAAACUGGUUUUUUUGGCAGUUUUUAAGCCAGUUUUGGUUUUCUAAAACUGCCUGAGCCUGGAGAAGUCCCUCAAAAACCUUUUGCUAGACGCGGGUUCGAUUCCCGCCAUCUCCACUA
rnacentral:tmRNA from 1 species